UACGGAGGGUGCAAGCGUUACUCGGAAUCACUGGGCGUAAAGCGCGCGCAGGCGGCUAGAUAAGUUGGAAGUGAAAUCCUAUGGCUCAACCAUAGAACUGCUUCCAAAACUGUUUAGCUAGAGUCUGGGAGGGGAAGAUGGAAUUAGUAGUGUAGGGGUAAAAUCCGUAGAGAUUACUAGGAAUACCAAAAGCGAAGGCGAUCUUCUGGAACAGUACUGACGCUGAGGCGCGAAAGCGUGGGGAGCAAACAGGAUUAGAUACCCUGGUAGUCCACGCCCUAAACGAUGAAUGUUAGUCGUCGGGACUCUAGUAGUUUCGGUGAUGCAGUUAACACAUUAAACAUUCCGCCUGGGGAGUACGGUCGCAAGAUUAAAACUCAAAGGAAUAGACGGGGACCCGCACAAGUGGUGGAGCAUGUGGUUUAAUUCGAAGAUACGCGAAGAACCUUACCUAGCCUUGACAUAUUUUAGAACUCCGCAGAGAUGUAGAGGUGCCUUCGGGAGCUAAUAUACAGGUGCUGCACGGCUGUCGUCAGCUCGUGUCGUGAGAUGUUGGGUUAAGUCCCGCAACGAGCGCAACCCUCGUUCUUAGUUACUAACGGUUCGGCCGAGGACUCUAAGAAGACUGCCUUCGUAAGGAGGAGGAAGGUGAGGACGACGUCAAGUCAUCAUGGCCCUUACGGCUAGGGCAACACACGUGCUACAAUGGUUAGGACAAUGAGACGCAAUACCGCGAGGUGGAGCAAAUCUAUAAACCUAAUCUCAGUUCGGAUUGUAGUCUGCAACUCGACUACAUGAAGCUGGAAUCACUAGUAAUCGUAGAUCAGCUAUGCU
rnacentral:rRNA from 1 species